CGAAACCCGGUGAUCUAGCCAUGGGCAGGUUGAAGGUUGGGUAACACUAACUGGAGGACCGAACCGACUAAUGUUGAAAAAUUAGCGGAUGACUUGUGGCUGGGGGUGAAAGGCCAAUCAAACCGGGAGAUAGCUGGUUCUCCCCGAAAGCUAUUUAGGUAGCGCCUCGUGAAUUCAUCUCCGGGGGUAGAGCACUGUUUCGGCAAGGGGGUCAUCCCGACUUACCAACCCGAUGCAAACUGCGAAUACCGGAGAAUGUUAUCACGGGAGACACACGGCGGGUGCUAACGUCCGUCGUGAAGAGGGAAACAACCCAGACCGCCAGCUAAGGUCCCAAAGUCAUGGUUAAGUGGGAAACGAUGUGGGAAGGCCCAGACAGCCAGGAUGUUGGCUUAGAAGCAGCCAUCAUUUAAAGAAAGCGUAAUAGCUCACUGGUCGAGUCGGCCUGCGCGGAAGAUGUAACGGGGCUAAACCAUGCACCGAAGCUGCGGCAGCGACGCUGAUGCGUUGUUGGGUA
rnacentral:rRNA from 1 species